rnacentral:rRNA from 1 species
CCUACGGGGGGCAGCAGUGGGGAAUAUUGCACAAUGGGCGCAAGCCUGAUGCAGCCAUGCCGCGUGUGUGAAGAAGGCCUUCGGGUUGUAAAGCACUUUCAGCGGGGAGGAAGGCGGUGAGGUUAAUAACCUCAUCGAUUGACGUUACCCGCAGAAGAAGCACCGGCUAACUCCGUGCCAGCAGCCGCGGUAAUACGGAGGGUGCAAGCGUUAAUCGGAAUUACUGGGCGUAAAGCGCACGCAGGCGGUCUGUCAAGUCGGAUGUGAAAUCCCCGGGCUCAACCUGGGAACUGCGUUCGAAACUGGCAGGCUAGAGUCUUGUAGAGGGGGGUAGAAUUCCAGGUGUAGCGGUGAAAUGCGUAGAGAUCUGGAGGAAUACCGGUGGCGAAGGCGGCCCCCUGGACAAAGACUGACGCUCAGGUGCGAAAGCGUGGGGAGCAAACAGGAUUAGAUACCCUAGUAGUC